GUACAAUGUCUAAUAUCAAUUGAGGGCAUCGAUCUCAAUGCUGUCAAUAAGGCUGGAGACACAGCUCUUGAUAUUGCAGAAAAGUCUGGCUCUCCGCAGCUCAUUUCCAUUUUGAAGGAGGCAGGAGCUACCCGUUCUAAAGAUGAUGGGAGACCUCCAACGGCUGCAAAGCAGCUCAAACAGACUGUCAGUGACAUACGACAUGAUGUGGAGUCCCAACUCCAACACAGUCGUCAAACUGGUUUCAGAGUGCGGAAAAUUGCAAAGAAUGUGAAAAAGCUCCACAUUAGUGGUCUUAACAAUGCAAUCAACAAUGCGACAGUUGUUGCUGUUCUUAUUGCUACUGUAGCUUUUGCUGCCAUCUUCACUGUACCUGGCCAAUAUAUUGAAGAGAAAGCAGAUGGGGUUUCGCUCGGUGAAGCGCACAUAGCCAGGAAAGCAUCUUUCAUAAUAUUUUUCUUGUUUGACAGUAUGGCCUUGUUUAUUUCCAUUGCUGUUGUGGUGGUACAAACUUCUGUGGUGGUGAUUGAACAGAAGGCAAAGAAG
rnacentral:misc_RNA from 1 species